rnacentral:sRNA from 1 species
UUGCUAUCUGCGAUAUGGAAGAUUCGAACCUGCCGCAGGUUCGGGUCUCACGUAGUGAGACGAACGGAGCCGCUUGCGGCGACGGCCCGAAGGGCGAGCAAAGCGAGUCAUCCUGCACGACCCACCA